rnacentral:rRNA from 1 species
UACGUAGGGUGCAAGCGUUGUCCGGAAUCAUUGGGCGUAAAGAGCUCGUAGGCGGCUUAGUAAGUCGGGUGUGAAACCUCCAGGCUCAACCUGGAGACGCCACCCGAUACUGCUAUAGCUAGAGUCCAGUAGGGGAGUGCGGAAUUCCCGGUGUAGCGGUGAAAUGCGCAGAUAUCGGGAGGAACACCAGCGGCGAAGGCGGCACUCUGGGCUGGUACUGACGCUCAGGAGCGAAAGCGUGGGUAGCGAACAGG